UACGUAGGGGGCUAGCGUUGUCCGGAAUCAUUGGGCGUAAAGCGCGCGUAGGCGGCCCGGUAAGUCCGCUGUAAAAGUCCAGGCUCAACCCUGGAACGCCGGUGGAUACUGUCGGGCUAGAGUCCGGAAGAGGCGAGUGGAAUUCCUGGUGUAGCGGUGGAAUGCGCAGAUAUCGUAAGGAAGACCAGUGGCGAAGGCGGGCUCUGGACAGUUCCUGAGCGCUGAGGCACGAAGGUCAGGGGAGCAAACGGG
rnacentral:rRNA from 1 species